rnacentral:lncRNA from 1 species
UUCUCAAUGUGAUAUGGCAUAAACAUAAAAUUGUUACAAUAACUUCUUUGUCCCCAGCUGCACUAUAUUAACUAUCUCGUUUCCUGCUGGGUAUCUUGUCUCUUCCCAACAUAUUGGCGAGAUUCUCUAACUUCCUGUCUCUCUAAGUAUUAGGUCAGACCUAUUUAGGUAUUUCCAAAUUCUCUGAGACUCUCCUACCAUUGAGAGGUCUAGUUUUCGUUUCCUCUACUCGCAUCUGGGUGAACUUGGAACUGCUUUGAUCAUCAGAGAAUCACAGAAUUGCUAUGUGUCUUCUGAGGUGAGGUCAUAAAAUACAGGUGAAAUUUGUCCUUGGAGUCCCGGACUAUGUCAUCAGUUUGACUAGCUGGGAGCUGCUGUGCUGUGAGGAAGCUCAGGUAACAGGGAGAGGCCAUAUUGAAGGACUCUGGUCAAAAGCUGAGCCAUUAAAUUGUCCCUGGCUAGGUAUCAGAUAUGUCAGUGAAAAUAGUCUCCAGAGGCUUCCAGUCUCCACCAUUCCAGUCUUUCCAACUGAGGCCCCAGACAUUGUGGAGCAGAGAAUCACCCCUUGACUCCUAGAGGCUAGCAUAAUAAAAUGGUUGUUAUUUUAUGCCACUAAAUUUUGGAAUUAUGUGUUAGUAGUAGAUAAUCAGAGUUGUAUAUAAAACUGAAGUCUUCUUCAUUUUAAAAUUUCAAAUUCUACAAGAAGCUUAUCCUUUCUCUUUUGCUCUGGCUGAAACUGUCUGUUUUCUCUAUGGCUUGGAGGAAGAAAUGGACACAGAUUCUUCUCUCCACAUAUGUCCCCAUUCCUGCUACCCUGUUCUUCCCUCUGGUGUGGGCAGGUGAAGAGGGAGAGUGCCGGCGGGUCUCCCUGCAGGAGGCAGGGGUAGGCUGCAGAUCUCUCUGGUUGAUUUCUACAGCACCUCUGGCCAACACUGACCAAUCAGCGAUGCCCCUGUGUGACAAGUAUCCACUGCUGCCUUCCCUGUGAUGUGCCAAAGCUGUUAGGAGGGCUGGGCAGAGCCUUCACUCUUCCCUGCUGCCUUUACCAUUUAUCACCACUAGCAUUUGAGCUCAGAGAGCCUCAGCUUUGC